UCUGGGACCUCACAGGCGAUGUGACGUGUGUGACGUGUCGGGAUGUCCAGCAGCAAAUUGUUAGUACAAGAUGUUGAACACAAAUUAUUGCUAGAAAUUUCGACAUUAUCAAGAUCGGUUCUGAUUGGAAGUGAUGGGCCACCGGCGUCGGCAACAUCUGGAUGGGUGGGAGGCGUGAUUGGAGGUUAUGGAGCAUAACGUCCUUUUCUUUUGUUUAUCUUCACUAUCCUGCAUGGUUUAUCGCCGAAGAUCAACUAUAUAACUCCGAAGCAAAAUUUCCAACUUGAAGCCCCAGUCGUGCUCGCGGCCAGCGUCUCCGAAACACUUCUUAUCUAACUUCACACAUAUCUCGAAAA